UACAGAGGGUGCAAGCGUUGUUCGGAAUUAUUGGGCGUAAAGCGCGUGUAGGCGGCUUUGCAAGUCGGGUGUGAAAGCCCUCAGCUCAACUGAGGAAGUGCGCCCGAAACUGCAGAGCUUGAGUACCGGAGAGGAUGGCGGAAUUCCCCAAGUAGAGGUGAAAUUCGUAGAUAUCUGGAGGAAUACCGGUGGCGAAGGCGGCAUCCUGGACCGGCAUUGACGCUGAGGAGCGAAAGCUAGGGGAGCAAACGGG
rnacentral:rRNA from 1 species